UACAGAGGGUGCGAGCGUUGUCCGGAAUCACUGGGCGUAAAGGGCGCGUAGGUGGUGACCUAAGCGUGCGGUGAAAGCCCGAGGCUCAACCUCGGGUCGGCCGUGCGAACUGGGUCACUGGAGCAGAAUAGAGGCAGGUGGAAUUCCGGGUGUAGCGGUGGAAUGCGUAGAGAUCCGGAAGAACACCGGUGGCGAAGGCGGCCUGCUGGGCAGUGGCUGACACUGAGGCGCGACAGCGUGGGGAGCAAACAGG
rnacentral:rRNA from 1 species